GUCGCAGCCCCGGAACCAGGCGCCCGCCGGAGGGACCAACCAAACUCUUUCUGUAGUCCCCUCGCGGACGUUAUUUCUUACAGCUCUGAGCAAAAAUUCAAAAUGAAUCAAAACUUUCAACAACGGAUCUCUUGGUUCUGGCAUCGAUGAAGAACGCAGCGAAAUGCGAUAAGUAAUGUGAAUUGCAGAAUUCAGUGAAUCAUCGAAUCUUUGAACGCACAUUGCGCCCGCCAGUAUUCUGGCGGGCAUGCCUGUCCGAGCGUCAUUUCAACCCUCGAACCCCUCCGGGGGUCCGGCGUUGGGGAUCGGGAACCCCUAAGACGGGAUCCCGGCCCCGAAAUACAGUGGCGGUCUCGCCGCAGCCUCUCAUGCGCAGUAGUUUGCACAACUCGCACCGGGAGCGCGGCGCGUCCACGUCCGUAAAACACCCAACUUCUGAAAUGUUGACCUCGGAUCAGGUAGGAAUACCCGCUGAACUUAAGCAU
rnacentral:rRNA from 1 species